GACGUAGGGGGCGAGCGUUGUCCGGAUUAUUGGGCGUAAAGCGCGCGCAGGCGGUCCUUUAAGUCUGAUGUGAAAGCCCACGGCUCAACCGUGGAGGGUCAUUGGAAACUGGGGGACUUGAGUACAGAAGAGGAAAGCGGAAUUCCACGUGUAGCGGUGAAAUGCGUAGAGAUGUGGAGGAACACCAGUGGCGAAGGCGGCUUUCUGGUCUGUAACUGACGCUGAGGCGCGAAAGCGUGGGGAGCAAACAGG
rnacentral:rRNA from 1 species